GACGAACGCUGGCGGCGUGCUUAACACAUGCAAGUCGAACGGAAAGGCCCUGCGUUUGUGGGGUGCUCGAGUGGCGAACGGGUGAGUAACACGUGAGUAACCUGCCCUUGACUUUGGGAUAACUUCAGGAAACUGGGGCUAAUACCGGAUAGGAGCUCCUGCUGCAUGGUGGGGGUUGGAAAGUUUCGGCGGUUGGGGCUGGACUGGCGGCUUAUCAGCUUGUUGGUGGGGUAGUGGCUUACCACGGCUUUGACGGGUAGCCGGCCUUAGAGGGUGACCGGCGACAAGGGGACUGCGAUACGGCCCAGACUCCUACGGGAGGCAGUGGUGGGGAAUAUGGCACAAUGGGCGGAAGCGUGAUGCAGCAACGUCGCGUGCGGGAUGCCGGCUUUCGGGUUGUAAACAGCUUUCGCCUGUGACGAAGCGUGAGUGACGGUAAUGGGUAAAGAAGCACCGGCUAACUACGUG
rnacentral:rRNA from 1 species